rnacentral:rRNA from 1 species
GACGAACGCUGGCGGCGUGCUUAACACAUGCAAGUCGAACGGAAAGGCCCUGCUUUUGUGGGGUGCUCGAGUGGCGAACGGGUGAGUAACACGUGAGUAACCUGCCCUUGACUUUGGGAUAACUUCAGGAAACUGGGGCUAAUACCGGAUAGGAGCUCCUGCUGCAUGGUGGGGGUUGGAAAGUUUCGGCGGUUGGGGAUGGACUCGCGGCUUAUCAGCUUGUUGGUGGGGUAGUGGCUUACCAAGGCUUUGACGGGUAGCCGGCCUGAGAGGGUGACCGGCCACAUUGGGACUGAGAUACGGCCCAGACUCCUACGGGAGGCAGCAGUGGGGAAUAUUGCACAAUGGGCGGAAGCCUGAUGCAGCAACGCCGCGUGCGGGAUGACGGCCUUCGGGUUGUAAACCGCUUUCGCCUGUGACGAAGCGUGAGUGACGGUAAUGGGUAAAGAAGCACCGGCUAACUACGUGCCAGCAGCCGCGGUGAUACGUAGGGUGCGAGCGUUGUCCGGAUUUAUUGGGCGUAAAGGGCUCGUAGGUGGUUGAUCGCGUCGGAAGUGUAAUCUUGGGGCUUAACCCUGAGCGUGCUUUCGAUACGGGUUGACUUGAGGAAGGUAGGGGAGAAUGGAAUUCCUGGUGGAGCGGUGGAAUGCGCAGAUAUCAGGAGGAACACCAGUGGCGAAGGCGGUUCUCUGGGCCUUUCCUGACGCUGAGGAGCGAAAGCGUGGGGAGCGAACAGGCUUAGAUACCCUGGUAGUCCACGCUGUAAACGGUGGGUACUAGGUGUGGGGUCCAUUCCACGGGUUCCGUGCCGUAGCUAACGCUUUAAGUACCCCGCCUGGGGAGUACGGCCGCAAGGCUAAAACUCAAAGGAAUUGGCGGGGCCCCGCACAAGCGGCGGAGCAUGCGGAUUAAUUCGAUGCAACGCGUAGAACCUUACCUGGGUUUGACAUGGAUCGGGAGCGCUCAGAGAUGGGUGUGCCUCUUUUGGGGUCGGUUCACAGGUGGUGCAUGGCUGUCGUCAGCUCGUGUCGUGAGAUGUUGGGUUAAGUCCCGCAACGAGCGCAACCCUUGUUCACUGUUGCCAGCACGUUAUGGUGGGGACUCAGUGGAGACCGCCGGGGUCAACUCGGAGGAAGGUGGGGAUGACGUCAAGUCAUCAUGCCCCUUAUGUCCAGGGCUUCACGCAUGCUACAAUGGCUGGUACAGAGAGUGGCGAGCCUGUGAGGGUGAGCGAAUCUCGGAAAGCCGGUCUCAGUUCGGAUUGGGGUCUGCAACUCGACCUCAUGAAGUCGGAGUCGCUAGUAAUCGCAGAUCAGCAACGCUGCGGUGAAUACGUUCCCGGGGCU